GCAACAAGCAUGAAAAGGCACACC
rnacentral:miRNA from 1 species